rnacentral:rRNA from 1 species
CAGUCGCCGCGGUAAUACGGAGGGUGCAAGCGUUAAUCGGAAUUACUGGGCGUAAAGCGCACGCAGGCGGUCUGACAAGUCAGAUGUGAAAUCCCCGGGCUUAACCUGGGAACUGCAUUUGAAACUGUCAGGCUGGAGUCUUGUAGAGGGGGGUGGAAUUCCAGGUGUAGCGGUGAAAUGCGUAGAGAUCUGGAGGAAUACCGGUGGCGAAGGCGGCCCCCUGGACAAAGACUGACGCUCAGGUGCGAAAGCGUGGGGAGCAAACAGGAUUAGAGACCCCUGUAGUCCCUGUCUCUUAUAC